rnacentral:rRNA from 1 species
GAUGAACGCUAGCGGGAGGCUUAACACAUGCAAGUCGAGGGGUAACAUGAGGUAGCAAUACUUUGAUGACGACCGGCGCACGGGUGAGUAACGCGUAUGUAACCUACCUUGUACAGGGGGAUAGCCCGGAGAAAUUCGGAUUAAUACCCCAUAAUGAUAUCUGAAGGCAUCUUUAGAUAUUUAAAGUUUCGACGGUACGAGAUGGGCAUGCGUGACAUUAGCUAGUUGGUAAGGUAACGGCUUACCAAGGCUGCGAUGUCUAGGGGUCCUGGGCGGGUGAUCCCCCACGCUGAUACUGAGACACGGACCAGACACCUACGGGAGGCAGCAGUGAGGAAUAUUGGUCAAUGGGCGUAAGCCUGAACCAGCCAUCCCGCGUGAAGGAAGAAGGCGCUAUGCGUCGUAAACUUCUUUUCCGGAGGAAUAAAAUUUCGUACGUGUACGGGACUGAAGGUACUCCGGGAAUAAGCAUCGGCUAACUCCGUGCCAGCAGCCGCAGUAACAC